rnacentral:rRNA from 1 species
GAUGAACGCUGGCGGCGUGCCUAAUACAUGCAAGUCGAGCGAACAGAUGAGAAGCUUGCUUCUCUGAUGUUAGCGGCGGACGGGUGAGUAACACGUGGGUAACCUACCUAUAAGACUGGGAUAACUCCGGGAAACCGGGGCUAAUACCGGAUAAUAUUUUGAACCGCAUGGUUCAAUAGUGAAAGACGGUUUCGGCUGUCACUUAUAGAUGGACCCGCGCCGUAUUAGCUAGUUGGUAAGGUAACGGCUUACCAAGGCGACGAUACGUAGCCGACCGGAGAGGGUGAUCGGCCACACGGGAACUGAGACACGGGCAAGACUCCUACGGGAGGCAGCAGUAGGGAAUCUUCCGCAAUGGGCGAAAGCCUGACGGAGCAACGCCGCGUGAGUGAUGAAGGUCUUAGGAUCGUAAAACUCUGUUGUUAGGGAAGAACAAAUUUGUUAGUAACUGAACAAGUCUUGACGGUACCUAACCAGAAAGCCACGGCUAACUACGUGCCAGCCGCCGCCGUAA